rnacentral:rRNA from 1 species
AACGAACGCUGGCGGCGUGGCUAAGACAUGCAAGUCGAACGGUAGGCUGUAGCAAUAUGGCCUAUAGUGGCGGACGGGUGAGUAAUGAAUAGGUAACUUACCCCGGGUACAGGGAUAGCGUCGGGGCGCAAGCCCCUUUGCGAAAGUGACGGUAAUACCUGGUAACGUCAUCGGGCGGCAUCGCUUGAUGACCAGAGGCGGGGACCUUCGGGCCUGCCGACUUGGGAGCGGCCUAUUUCCAUCAGCUAGUUGGUGAGGUAACGGCUCACCAAGGCAACGACGGGUAGCCGGACUGAGAGGUUGUCCGGCCACAUCGGGACUGAGACACUGCCCGGANAUCUACGGNUGGCUGCAGUAACGAAUAUUCCGCAAUGGCGAAAGCCUGACGGAGCGACGCCGCGU